rnacentral:rRNA from 1 species
AUGGCCAGCCACACUGGAACUGAGACACAGUCCAGACUCCUACGGGAGGCAGCAGUGGGGAAUAUUGCGCAAUGGGGGGAACCCUGACGCAGCCAUGCCGCGUGAAUGAAGAAGGCCUUCGGGUUGUAUAGUUCUUUCGGUGAUGAGGAAGGCGAUUAGUUUAAGAGAAAAAUUGAUUGACGAUAAUCACAGAAGAAGCACCGGCUAACUCCGUGCCAGCAGCCGCGGUAAUACGGAGGGUGCGAGCGUUAAUCGGAAUGACUGGGCGUAAAGGGCACGCAGGUGGAGACUUAAGUGAGGUGUGAAAUCCCCGGGCUUAACCUGGGAACAGCAUUUCAGACUGGAAGACUAGAGUACUUUAGGGAGGGGUAGAAUUCCACGUGUAGCGGUGAAAUGCGUAGAGAUGUGGAGGAAUACCGAAGGCGAAGGCAGCCCCUUGGGAAGAUACUGACGCUUGAGUGCGAAAGCGUGGGGAGCAAACAGGAUUAGAUACCCUGGUAGUCCACGCUGUAAACGAUGUCGAUUUGGGGAUUGGGUGAAUACUUGGUGCCCGAAGCUAACGUGAUAAAUCGACCGCCUGGGGAGUACGGCCGCAAGGUUAAAACUCAAAUGAAUUGACGGGGGCCCGCA